rnacentral:rRNA from 1 species
CCUACGGGAUGCAGCAGUGAGGAAUAUUGGUCAAUGGACGGAAGUCUGAACCAGCCAUGCCGCGUGCAGGAAGACGGCUCUAUGAGUUGUAAACUGCUUUUGUACAAGGGUAAACCUGAAUACGUGGAUUCAUCUGAAAGUACUGUACGAAUAAGGAUCGGCGAAAUCCGUGCCAGAAGCCGCGGCAAGACAGAGGAUCCAAGCGUUAGCCGGAUUGAUUGGGUUUAAAGGGUGCGUAGGCGGAUGGAUAAGUUAGAGGUGAAGUGUCGGUGCUCAAACACGGCCGGCCGUUGAAACUGUGCUACUUGAGGGAGCGAGAAGUAUGCGGCAUGCGUGGUGUAGCGGUGAAAUGCAUAGAUA